GCUCACUAUUAACUUUUUGUUGUUGUUGUUGAAUCUUUCUUGAUUUUAGGGAAACAGCAGAAGAACCUAAAGUAAUGGAGUCAUCUUUUUCCAGAAUGUCGAGUUUGUUGAGGAUGUCACAGUGAGGUGCACAAAUUGUCCAUGGUCAUAUGCUCGGCCUUCUUGCGCAUGCGGUCGUCCCGGUACACCUUGGCAGCGUACAGCAGGUCCGUUUCUGGGGCAGAGGUGAAAUCAUUUAUUAGGAUUUUUUUUUUAUUUCAUAUUUAGAUGAAAUACUGUAUAAUAAUGUCUUCUGUAUAAUAAUGUCUUCAUGUUUUCUUAAAAGAAUUGUACACAUCUUACAAAUUCUGCCUGGGCAAGAAAACGUGAGCAUAUGAGCACAUAUGUGUGUUUUCUCAUUUACAAAAUAAAAAUAGGGCUGUGAAUUUCAAAAUAAGAGCAAGUAAAUAAAAAGAAUAUUGUGUGUUCAAAUAAAGUGCUUAACUUCAGAAUAAUUAUUUUAAAAAACUAACAAAAUACAGAUAAUACUUCAUGUUUUGAUCAUAUGGGUUGAAGGAAAAUCAUGCAUUGUAAAAAUGCAUUAUACAUGGGUAGAAGGGUUUUCCAGAAUUCUUAGCUCAACUUUGGGGGUGCGCAUUAUACACGAGAAAUUGCGGUAGAUGUUUGUAUAUUUAAUGAAUGUUGAGCGAUUUGUAUUUUAGUUUGAUCAACUAUUUAAUGAAAUGUCUUAUUUAUUGGCAUUGUUACUAUUCUCAGAGGGAAUGUUAAUCUCUACAAGAACAUUUAUUUAAUAGAAUUAUCUCCAAUUUAACAAAAUGUUUAUUCAUUUAACGACAUUUUUAAUCUAUUGAUUGCAUUUUUAGUUAUUUUUUUAUUCAAUUAAAUUGACUUUCAUUGAGUGAAUAGUUUUUUAUUUAAUGGAAUGUUAAAUUAAUGACAUUUUUAGUUAAGUAUUUUCUAUUUAAUGGAAUGCCAACUUAUUCAAUGAUUUGUAUUCAUACUCCUAUUCAUUGGCAUACAGUAUGGCAUGAUAUGUCCUCUUACUUGUCUGUCUCUCCUUCCAGCAGUUAUUCCUGACAUUUGACACGUAGUCUUCCUCUACGUUUUUCUCGAUCUGCUGCAGCGCCGCCGCCUUGUACUCCGACUUGAAGUCUCUGGUGACGUAGUAAUCCACGUGGAGGUUUUCCGUUUGCCGCUUCACCGUCUGACCCGUGGACCUGGAGAGAAUCCGUGGAGUUAUAAUUACCAUGACAUCAAUGGUAAUUUCUGGUAGCCCUUCUAUGGCGUUGCGUUCCCCUCUGAUAUUAUAUGUCUUCGUGAAGCUAGCAAACAUUUGUUGGAUGAAAGUAUAUGGUUGAACAUUUUGGUGUUUAAAUGUAAGCCGUUUAAUUUUCUUUUGUUGCAUGCUCUAAAUUAUGUGCAAUACAUUUUAAAUGGAUUAUUUAAAAUGACUUAUUAUUUUAUUUAUUAUUUACUCCCUUAUUUUAAUAUUUGUCAUUAUGGUGGUAAUUGGAGAGCUAUGUUUUUUUUUAGAGUGGUACUUGGUGUAAAAUGUUUGAGAACCAGUCUAUUCCGGUGAAUUCUCACAUAUCGCGGGUGGUUCUGGAAUGUAUCCCAUAGGUUCAUUGUAGAUUACACACAAAUAUGUAGAGGAUUUCAGGAGAGGGAUGUAGCGCUUACGGUCGAGAGUAGAGGCUGUAGGGAGGUGGAGAAACCAUCAUCUGGCUCAGUAUUGACACCAAGAUCAGGACCACGAUGGGCAUCAGCUGAAUAAACAUGGAGAAACCACCCUGGAGAGAAACACGGCUUUAACAACACGCACACUGAGGACACCGCAGCAAUGUCGUCUCACGACACCACGGCACGUACGUCUCCUCUUUCGUCAGUCCUCUCCUGUCGGUAAUCGCCGUGAUGGCUGUAACUCGUCCUGCCGUUGGUGAACGACUGUGCGCUUGCUGAGAGAUGGAAGGAAGAAUAAAAAACAAUUACAGUCCCUCGA